AGUUUCUGGAACUUACUGAGGUCCCUUUACAGGCCUUCUCCGGGACAAUCGUUAUGAGGCUUCAGAGCUGCUAAGCCUCCUUUGUGUGGCCUGUCUGAGGGAGCUGACAGGAGGGAGUGGUGGAGGAACGAAGUUUGGAUGCCUUGCUGCAGUAGUUAGCUCAGGAGACCCUGAGUCCUGAAGGGCUGGAUGGACACAGGGUCGACACAGUAAGAACAAGGGUUCUCUCUUGUAAGAACCGGGGACUCCCUGCGAGUCUACAGUUCCUCCAGUCAAUAAACAGGAUGGAGUGCCGACACCAGAGUCAGCGCAAGAGGACAGAUGGAUGUCCAUGGGACAUUUCCUCAUGUUGCAGAGACAUUUGGAUGGCUGUGUGGGCGAUGGCUGAGUGGCUUGAGCUUGGGCACAAAGCCACCCACCGGGAAGGCAGAGCCCCCAGGCUGAGGGCUGCAGCAGGGCGUCCCAAGUUGUUCUGCUACAUCCCACACUGAGAGCCAUUUCUCUGCUACAUCAACGCUUCUGCAGCCAAGUGCACGUUGUGAGGCUCGUCUUGCUGGCUUCCUAAUGGCCCCAUCAGUGGCUGGCCUGAAGAGAGAAGGACUUACUCACAUUGGACGGAUUUCUGCCUUCAUUCCUGUCCAGCUGCUGCGUAUGCUGACCUUCUGUAUGUAACCAAGUACCUCAGCCGGGAUGGACCCACGGACAGCAUCUUAUCAUCUCCCUGGGGAGGCUGAGCAAAGCCAAGAUGAGGGCACCAAUAGGCUGGUUGCUGGUAGUCUGUGGGAUUCCUUGACCUUUAAGAGUUGCUGGAUAAUCUCUGUCUUCAUUUAUUUUAUUUUAUUUUUUUAGAUUCUUGUGUAGUCCAGACUGGCCUUGAACUCCUUAUCUAGUCAGUGCAAGAUUUAUUUAAUUAACAAACAUAAUUACAGUUGGGUGGUAUAACAGGGCUUUAACUGACAUCUCUGAAGAGGAAAACUGGGGGCAGCUACCUUUAAAAAUAUUAAAAUUUAAGACAGUGAUUGUUUGUCAGACACACAUAUGACCAAAUUAUCCCCUGAAUUUAGGAAUGGACACAAUAUGUUUGUUUGCU
rnacentral:lncRNA from 1 species